rnacentral:rRNA from 1 species
UACGUAGGGGGCAAGCGUUGUCCGGAAUCAUUGGGCGUAAAGCGCGUGUAGGCGGCUCGAUAAGUCUGCUGUGAAAGUCCAGGGCUCAACCCUGGGAUGCCGGUGGAUACUGUCGAGCUCGAGUCCGGAAGAGGCGAGUGGAAUUCCUGGUGUAGCGGUGGAAUGCGCAGAUAUCAGGAAGAACACCCGUGGCGAAGGCGGCUCUCUGGAACGCAACUGACGCUGAGACGCGAAAGCGUGGGGAGCAAACAGG